GAGGGAGAGACUGACUACUCUAAAACGUGGUCAGAAACGGGAUUUGAGCUCCCACCAUCCAGCGCCAUAAUGGAAGUUUGAUCGGGAAGCUGCCUGCAGACAGAAUCGUCGGAAUGGGUGUCCGCUAGAAGGAAACCCGUCUUCCCACUUUAAAUAUUCAAUUCCCAUUGCGCAUUUUCACUGAGGAGUUGGCCCAGAAAAUGAAAACACGCAGAAAUAAACUGCAAGGAUGUUCAUUAGAG